CUCCAGCUGGCCCUGGGCUGGUGGCCACCUCCCUCCCAUCUCUGGCUCCAUAUUCUUGUGGCUUCGGCUGUGUGUCAUCUCUUUUGCGAUAAACAUGGUUAUUUGACUGAGGGAGCAUCUUCAUUCUUAAGGACCUGGUCCCUUGCACAGAGCUCGAAGAACCGUAGCAAUUUCUUGAUCCUUUUGAGGAGAGCAUCUCUUGUGGUUUUUCCUAAGAAACCCAAGCACACCUGUGUUCAUGCUAAUGCGGUUUAUGCUAAUGAGGUGGGCUGGUUGCCACAGGAACCCACCAGGUGAUUCAAGGGUUGGCUUUUUAAGCUCCACCCCAAACCUCGGGAGUUGCUGAGAGGCCAAGGCUUAUAACCAGUCCUACUUGGCAGAAGCUCCCUCAAAAGCGGUUCAUAGAGUUUCCAGAUGGGGAGUCCACAGUUGGCAGGGUGCUGCACCCCAAACUCCAUGAAGACAAGCUCCUGCACGUGGGGACUCCCCCACCUUGCUCUUGUCCUUCUUUUCUGGUGUUGACCUCUUUAUGAGCAACAGGUGGAAGUUUUGAACACUAGAUUAAAGUUACUCUUCAUCCGGUUUCAUCGCGGUGUCCAGCCGAGAGGUGGGACUCGUUUCCUGAAAUGAUGUCCACAGUCAGUUUAGGGAACCUCCAUCAUCUGCAGAUACAAAGUGAAAGAGGGAAAACAUUCUUCUCCUUGAGAUAAGAACUGUCAGGAUUGACUCUCAAAACCCUUGGUGCAUAAGGUGCGUUGGUGCUGAUGCCGUUCGUCGUGUACGUUUCAUCCCAGAACCAACGUGUCUGAUACCCUGUCAGUGGUACCUUCCCCUCCCCCUCCAGCCUCUGGGAACCACAGAUCUCAUCUCCAUUGCUGUGAGUUUGUUUUUGGAACAAAAUUGACCUUCAGCACUUGUUUCAUCCCUACUACACAACAUUGUGACUUCAGAGUACUUUUACUUUUUUUUUUUUCCUUUUUGCAGCCACACCUGCGGCAUAUGGAGGUUGCCAGAAGAGGGGUCAAAUCAAAGUCACAGCUGCCAAGCGCCACAACAGCCACCCCAGAUCCCACCACAUGUGUGACCUACACCUCAGCUCUUGGCAACGCCAGAUCCUUAACCCACUGAGUGAGGCCAGGGAUCAAACAAACAUCUUCACGGAUCCUCGUCAGGUUCCUUAUCACUGAGCCACGAGGGGGAACUCCCCCAUCUCAUUUUCUACGAGUGGGUGUUUGGAAUAGAACUGACCACCUGCACUGUUUUAGUGCCUGUUACACAGCAGAGCGACUCCCUAUUUCGACACACACCUGACAGCCCAUUUGCGUUCAGGCCCUAAGGCCUCCUGUUGGCUCUGAAAAGUCACACAAGUCUGCAGAGCUGCAAAGUACUGGUGAAUAUAUUCCCCCCUUUUCUUCCACGUUUGUGGUAGAAGAGACAUACAGCACCGGGUUAGCCUCACAUGUCCAGUAUGGUCAUAUGACUUACAUCGUGAGAUGACGGCUAGAACAAUUUUAGGGAACAUCGGUCAUUUCCUGGAAAAAAGUGAUUCAAGACAUAGAAAAAAACUUUGUCCCUUGUGAUAAGAACUCUAAAGGUUGACUUUGAAUAAACCUGCUCUACAG